rnacentral:rRNA from 1 species
UACGAAGGGUGCAAGCGUUAAUCGGAAUUACUGGGCGUAAAGCGCGCGUAGGUGGUUCGUUAAGUUGGAUGUGAAAGCCCCGGGCUCAACCUGGGAACUGCAUCCAAAACUGGCGAGCUAGAGUACGGUAGAGGGUGGUGGAAGUUCCUGUGGAGCGGUGAAAUGCGUAGAUCUAGGAAGGAACACCAGGGGCGAAGGCGACCACAUGUACUGAUACUGACACUGAGGUGCGAAAGCGUGGGGAGCCAACAGGAUUAGAUACCCCUGUAGUCC